GGUUGCAUGACUUCUGCUAGGUGUUUUGAUACUUUUCGGUCUCUACUUGAAUGUUGCGUACCUAAUUUUUUAGUGGCCAACAAUCUUGCACUGAUUCUUGCUAGGGGUCAUCAAGGAAACUCAAUAGAUGGCUAUUUCACUGGAGAUUAUACCAGAGGUGUUGUUUUGAAAGUAUAUGCCAGGAGAGAAAGAUAUACUUGAAACCCGAUGAGGUCAAUGAUGUGGAGAUUUUACCAGAGAUGUUGUUUUCAAGUAAGAUUUUGUGUGAUAUUAUACCGAUCGCUCCAACACGCCACAUUGUUGCUCCACGGCAAAGGCAGCGAGAGCGGCGGUUUCGACGGCGACUGGCUGCCUGCUGCUUGCUUGUACGUGUGGAAGGCAGUUGUUCACGGCAGACCA